UUUCCGUAGGUGAACCUGCGGAAGGAUCAUUGCCGAUUUAUCAUUUGGGGGAGACGCUCUCUCCCCCGACCGACACCUCCGUGCACUCUGGGAGAGGCCUCUCGAAAGAGGGUCCCCCCUCCCGUUUUACGAACGCCUCGUAGUCUCGCGCGUGUCAGUGAAAUAAAAAUCGAAACACAACUUUCAACAACGGAUCUCUUGGCUCUC
rnacentral:misc_RNA from 1 species